AGAAAAAAUUGAGUUUCUAAAGAACCCUGAAAACAGGCACCUUGUCUGUCUGCCUUUAAACAAUGUAAAACGGAUUGAUUUCGCUAAUGAGGGACUUGCCAUCCUGCCUAUCCACCUUGCAGCUACAUACAGAAAAGUGCGAAGCCUGGAGAUCCUUCUGGAUGCCGGUGCCGAUCCUGAACUGAGACACAAUUUCUUGUGUGCGCAACAAUUCCAUUGGACACAAGUUGAGCCAUCCCACCUGAGGAAAUAGUGAGGAGGUGGCUG